AGUGAACGCUGGCGGUAGGCCUAACACAUGCAAGUCGAACGGCAGCACAGUAAGAGCUUGCUCUUACGGGUGGCGAGUGGCGGACGGGUGAGGAAUACAUCGGAAUCUACUUUUUCGUGGGGGAUAACGUAGGGAAACUUACGCUAAUACCGCAUACGACCUACGGGUGAAAGCAGGGGAUCUUCGGACCUUGCGCGAUUGAAUGAGCCGAUGUCGGAUUAGCUAGUUGGCGGGGUAAAGGCCCACCAAGGCGACGAUCCGUAGCUGGUCUCAGAGGAUGAUCAGCCACACUGGAACUGAGACACGGUCCCGACUCCUACGGGAGGCCGCAGUGGGGAAUAUUGGGCAAUGGGCGCAAGCCUGAUCCAGCCCUACCGCGUGGGUGAAGAAGGCCUUCGGGUUGGAAAGCCCUUUUGUUGGGAAAGAAAAGCAGCAGGUUAAUACCCCGCUGUUCUGACGGUACCCAAAGAAUAAGCACCGGCUAACUUCGUG
rnacentral:rRNA from 1 species